UGACAACUUUAAGUGUCUUUGGAGUUCUCU
rnacentral:piRNA from 1 species